CCUACGGGAGACAGCAGUGAGGAAUAUUGGUCAAUGGACGAGAGUCUGAACCAGCCAAGUAGCGUGAAGGAUGACUGCCCUAUGGGUUGUAAACUUCUUUUAUCUAGGAAUAAAAUGUUCCACGUGUGGGAUUUUGUAUGUACCAUAUGAAUAAGGAUCGGCUAACUCCGUGCCAGCAGCCGCGGUAAUACGGAGGGUCCGAGCGUUAUCCGGAUUUAUUGGGUUUAAAGGGAGCGUAGAUGGGUUGUUAAGUCAGUUGUGAAAGUUUGCGGCUCAACCGUAAAAUUGCAAUUGAUACUGGCAGUCUUGAGGACAGGUGAGGUAGGCGGAAUGCGCGGUGUAGCGGUGAAAUGCUUAGAUAUCACGAAGAACUCCGAUUGCGAAGGCAGCUUACCAACCGGCAACUGACACUGAUGCUCGAAAGUGUGGGUAUCAAACAGGAUUAGAUACCCCAGUAGUC
rnacentral:rRNA from 1 species